GCCGGAGUGAGCUCUUCCGGGGCGCGGAUAGGCGCCGGAAGUCCCGCGAGUCCCGCCCUGCUUCGUCUCCUGCCCAGUUCCAGUUGGCUGGCUGGCCGUUACAGGACUGGGAUGGCAGAGCUGGACCUGAGGACGAGAGGCUUGUUGCCGUUCGCGAGUUUUUAGAGCAUAGUUUUUCUCCGAGUUGUAUUGCUUUUCCCGAAGGGGUCGAAUAGCUGCCCUGGUUAGUGGCGAGGUUUGGCGCAGUCGCUGGCUGUGCAUGGUGACGGCGUUUCGGGCUUAUUUAGCUCUCGAUCAGUCUGGAUUGUGUGGCAGCGCACGGAUAUUCGCACAAAUGCAUGCAAUUCAUGUCCAGGGAGAGGUCUCUGAGUUAGCUGUCUCUCGCUGGAGACUAACCUGUGCCAGGGAGCCUGGGCUUGUGUAUCACUACGUGUUGCAACAAAGGUCCUGUUUCGGUACAUUUGAUCUCCUUGAGCCUUUGGGCAGAGUCGUGAGUGAUGGGAUAUUUGAUCUGAGUGGGUUUUGUGAGCCAUAGUACAAAGUCCCUAGGAUGUGUGUGCCUGUAUUCUGGGGUGUGCAUUUUUGGAGCUCUCUGGCCUUUCAGUCCCUGGGUGUGAGAUCCCUUUGUAGGCGUGUGCACCUGAGAUUGUGAGACCUCUGAGUUUUUGAUUCUGGUCCCAAGUUGUGAUGUCUCUGAGCUGCUUUAAGGAUGGGUUUGUCUAAAGGUGCGAAGUCUCAGCUGCUUGGGGAUCUGUGCACAGGGUGCAGGUUUUCCAUUUGUCUGGGGACUUUAUCUGAAGGGUACAUGAUGUUUUUGAGUUAUUAAAAGUUCUCUUUCCGUUUAGGGUUUUUGCAUUAGGUUGGUAAGUGUCCGAGUGGUUUGGGAGUCAGUCUCCAUGGUGUGAAGUAUCUGUGCAGUUCUCAUUUGUUUCUGUCUUGAAGACUUUGGUCUGUUUGGAUGGUCUUUGUCACAGCGUGUAUGGUUAUGGUCUCAGCUGUGUUUGAGGGUCUGAGACAAGUUGUGUGCUGUCUGUGCAGAGAUUCAGUGAGCUCUUUUUGGUGUCUCUGGGUAUCUAUCUGGGCUGUCUGGAGUCUCUGUGUCAGAAAUAAAACCUCUUAUGUUCUUGACUGUGAUGUCUCUGUCCAGGAACUGAGGGUUUGGAAACUGGCAGACAUGAUUCCAAGACAUGGAACCUGACGUGCUGACUGUGUGUUGUUGAGCAUAUCAGUUGUCUCCUGGAAUCUCAGUAUGUAUCAUAAUUAAUACAGUGGGGCCAGUGCAUGUUUUGCAGGGUACCUGUGCAUGUUAGCGAUGUGUGCAAAGGGCCUCGCUUCAGACUAUCCUUCAGCAAAUGUUUUCUGAGCACCUUUCAUAUACAUGAGCACUGCUGGAGGAGUUUGUGACAGGACAGAACUGACCAAGCCUCUCCUUUCAUAGACUUGGUGGUCAGUAAAUAAAUCAAGGGUGGCAGGCACUAUGAAGAAAGAUAAUGCUAGAUCAGGGGAAAGGGUAUAUGUAGGUAUGAUGUUCUUAUUUUGUUCAAGGUAAGGAGGGAAAGUCUCCCUGAAAGAUGGCAAGUAAGCAGAGAUCUGGAGGAAGUGAGGGAGCAGGCUAUGGGGUUAUCUAAGGGAAGAGCAUUCCAGACAGAAGGAACAACAAAUGCAACUGUCCUGGCAUGGAAAUCUACUUGGCGUGCUCCUGAAUGUCAAGGAGUCCUGCGAUGCACUGGGUUUGCACUAGGGUGUUUUCCAAUGAGUCAGCUAUUCGCAUCAGGUGGCCAAAGUAUUGCAGCUUCAGCAUCAGUCCUUCCAGGAAAUAUGUUAACAAGAGCAGAAAGACAUUUCGAGGAAUUGAAGGACACUUCUCUGCCUCUGCCCAUUUGGUAUCAAGACGGGUUCAAUAAACAACAGAAGUCUGGGAAAUUAAUCUUACGGGGAAAGGGAUAUGCUUGUAUUUCCCCAGAUGGAUCCAACAAACUUUUUCCUCGAAACAUUCGACCCAAGGGGGCCCCCGACAUUCAAAAUGGAGACGAAACAACAAGAACCCCAGGAGGAAGAAAUUCCAAUACGGGCCAUGGCAGCUCUACAGAUCUCCAGAAAGCGCCGCCCUCGGCGGCAUCAACCCUAUGACCUCCCCUCUUGGGGACAAAUAAAAACCCUCACUAAUCAAGUUAAAAAUCUGAUUUCUCAACAGGAAAUGCCUCAGAGUCCUGAAAACCUUCCUAUUGCUAUCCUGACCUGCGCGACCCCCCGGUCAAGCCAGAUUAACAAAUCAGACUUAACUGGGCUUACUUACCCAACCCCCCUUUAUUACAGGUCAUAAAAUGGACUGAGAAAAGACCAGUCCUAUCAACCAGUGACUCCAUCCAUAUGCCCCCUCCCUGGAAGCCUCACACCCUGGGGAGGAGGGAAAACUAAUGAACAUUUCUUUAGGCUAUGAAGUCCUUCCUUUGACUGGGCCCAGGAAAAUUAGGCAUAUACCUCGGCCGACAAACUUGGGCUUUCAUUCUGCCUCCAAAAGAAGACUUUCAGACAUUGCUGCCCUUUCUUUUUCUGUGAACCAUGUUUACUACUGAAACUUUAGGGAAAGAGUUAGGGAAAGAACAAAAAACCAUUAUAUAUUAUGCUGCUAAAGUGGCUUUAAAGGUUGCUAACCCUAUGUUGAAACAUUACCAUGACAAAGGACUUCUUGGCUGGCUUGAAGGUGGGUGGAAUAGCACCUCCUCCUCCUGGAAUCAUCCUUGAUAAACAAUUUGGGCCAGAACAAUGGGACAUUUGGAAACUUGCUGCCAGCACCGAAGAACUUGGGACUUAGACCGGACAUUUCACAGGGAACAGUCGUGCUCAUUGUAACUAUUUCUUUUGCUAUAAUCAGUCAUAUUUUAUACAGGCCUGUGUCCCACUGACAAUUUAAUCUGUAACUUGUAUUAAUUGCCAAUUUUGUGUUACUCCUGUUCAAUUCAAUCAUAGUACUU